UGGGGAAUAUUGGACAAUGGGCGCAAGCCUGAUCCAGCAAUGCCGCGUGUGUGAAGAAGGCCUUCGGGUUGUAAAGCACUUUUAUCAGGAGCGAAACGCUGUCGGCUAAUACCCGGCGGAACUGACGGUACCUGAGGAAUAAGCACCGGCUAACUUCGUGCCAGCAGCCGCGGUAAUACGAAGGGUGCAAGCGUUAAUCGGAAUUACUGGGCGUAAAGCGUGCGUAGGCGGUUUCUUAAGUCUGCUGUGAAAUCCCCGGGCUCAACCUGGGAAUGGCAGUGGAUACUGGGAGGCUAGAGUGUGUCAGAGGGUGGUGGAAUUCCCGGUGUAGCGGUGAAAUGCGUAGAGAUCGGGAGGAACAUCAGUGGCGAAGGCGGCCACCUGGGACAACACUGACGCUGAGGCACGAAAGCGUGGGGAGCAAACAGGAUUAGAUACCCUGGUAGUCCACGCCCUAAAGCGAUGCGAACUGGAUGUUGGUCUCAACUCGGAGAUCAGUGUCGAAGCUAACGCGUUAAGUUCGCCGCCUGGGGAGUACGGUCGCAAGACUGAAACUUAAAUGAAUUGACGGGGUCAUAGCUGUUUCCUG
rnacentral:rRNA from 1 species